GACAGAGGGUGCAAACGUUGUUCGGAAUUACUGGGCGUAAAGCGCACGUAGGCGGCUUUGUAAGUUAGAGGUGAAAGCCUGGUGCUCAACACCAGAAUUGCCUUUAAGACUGCAUCGCUUGAACGUCGGAGAGGUGAGUGGAAUUCCGAGUGUAGAGGUGAAAUUCGUAGAUAUUCGGAAGAACACCAGUGGCGAAGGCGGCCAUCUGGACCGCAACUGACGCUGAGGCGCGAAAGCGUGGGGAGCAAACAGG
rnacentral:rRNA from 1 species